rnacentral:rRNA from 1 species
UACGUAGGGGGCGAGCGUUGUCCGGAUUUAUUGGGCGUAAAGAGCGUGUAGGCGGCCAUGUAGGUCCGGUGUGAAAACUCGAGGCUUAACCUCGAGAUGUCAUCGGAAACCAUUUGGCUAGAGUCCGGAAGAGGAGAGUGGAAUUCCUGGUGUAGCGGUGAAAUGCGCAGAUAUCAGGAAGAACACCAAUGGCGAAGGCAGCUCGCUGGGACGGUACUGACGCUGAGACGCGAAAGCGUGGGGAGCAAACAGG